UACGUAGGGUGCGAGCGUUAAUCGGAAUUACUGGGCGUAAAGCGUGCGCAGGCGGUUUUGUAAGCCAGAUGUGAAAGCCCCGGGCUUAACCUGGGAAUGGCAUUUGGGACUGCAAGGCUUGGAGUGCGGCAGAGGAGACUGGAAUUCCUGGUGUAGCAGUGAAAUGCGUAGAUAUCAGGAGGAAUACCGAUGGCGAAGGCAGGUCUCUGGGCUGACACUGACGCUCAUGCACGAAAGCGUGGGGAGCAAACAGG
rnacentral:rRNA from 1 species